AGUGAACGCUGGCGGUAGGCCUAACACAUGCAAGUCGAACGGCAGCACAGUAAGAGCUUGCUCUUACGGGUGGCGAGUGGCGGACGGGUGAGGAAUACAUCGGAAUCUACUUUUUCGUGGGGGAUAACGUAGGGAAACUUACGCUAAUACCGCAUACGACCUACGGGUGAAAGCAGGGGAACUUCGGACCUUGCGCGAUUGAAUGAGCCGAUGUCGGAUUAGCUAGUUGGCGGGGUAAAGGCCCACGAAGGCGACGAUCCGUAGCUGGUCUGGGAGGAUGAUAAGCCACCCUGGAACGUGACCACGGUCCAGACUCCUACGGGAGGGCGCAGUGGGGAAUAUUGGGCAAUGGGGGCAAGCCUGGUCCAGCCAUACCGCGUGGGUGAAGAAGGCCUUCGGGUUGGAAAGCCCUUUUGUUGGGAAAGAAAAGCAGCAGGUUAAUACCCCGCUGGUCUGACGGUAACCAAAGAAUAAGCACCGGCUAACUUCGUG
rnacentral:rRNA from 1 species